rnacentral:rRNA from 1 species
GACGAACGCUGGCGGCGUGCUUAACACAUGCAAGUCGAACGAUGAAACCUAGCUUGCUAGGUCGAUUAGUGGCGAACGGGUGAGUAACACGUGACUAACCUGCCCCUUUCUCUGGGAUAACGCUCCGAAAGGAGUGCUAAUACCGGAUACUCACAUCGAGGCACAUGCCUUAGUGUGGAAAGUUUUUCGGAAAGGGAUGGAGUCGCGGCCUAUCAGCUUGUUGGUGAGGUAACGGCUCACCAAGGCGACGACGGGUAGCCGGCCUGAGAGGGCGACCGGCCACACUGGGACUGAGACACGGCCCAGACUCCUACGGGAGGCAGCAGUGGGGAAUAUUGCACAAUGGGCGCAAGCCUGAUGCAGCGACGCCGCGUGAGGGAUGAAGGUCUUCGGAUUGUAAACCUCUUUCAGUAGGGACGAAGCGAAGGUGACGGUACCUAAAGAAGAAGCACCGGCUAACUACGUGCCAACAGCCGCCGCGG